rnacentral:rRNA from 1 species
CGGCAACAGCUCAAAUUUGAAAUCUGGCUCUUCUAGGGUCCGAGUUGUAAUUUGUAGAAGAUGCUUCGGGUGUGGCUCCGGUCUAAGUUCCUUGGAACAGGACGUCAUAGAGGGUGAGAAUCCCGUACGGUUGGAUGCCUAGCCUCUGUGAAACUCCUUCGAC